CCCGACUAUUCUAUAUCUCUCCCGACUCCACUCCCAACGCAGAAGAACUCUGUCUCUCUUUAAAUCUCUAACCUUCCCCCAAAUCCUUAACCUCACGCAUGAAAUCCUAACGCUAUCACACAGAAAGAGACCUAAUGCAGAAGCACUCCAUCUCUCACUCUAAAUCUCUAACCUCUAUGGGCUAUGGCAUUCCUACUAAAACGUUUUCAAAUAUAUUGAUUGGAUUGGCUCAAUAUAUUCUGAGAAUGGUCAGGAGCGAGACGUAACACCGAAAUCCGAUCCAGCAUAAGCCAAGGAGGAGCAGAAUGGGCGAUGAUUGCUGUGAACCUUUGCCACAGUCCGUUGGUGCAAAGAAGGGGCUGGGGCUGGGGCUGGGGCUCAGGCUAUCUCUCUCGAAGCCGAGGAGGAGCCAAAGUGAAAGUGAUGAUUUCUCUGAACCAUUGUCACAGUCUCAAGGUAAGUUUAAUUUAUUAGCAAAUUUGUAAUUAAGCAUAUUCAGAUCAGGGUUGGGUUUUUUUGUUUCUUGUAUCUUUGUUUUGUUUUUUCUUUGCCACAGUCCGUUGGUGCGAAGAAGGGGCUGGGGCUGGGGCUGGGGCUGAGGUUGCCUUUCUCGAAGUGGAGGAGGAGCCAAAGUGAAAGCGAUGAUUUCUCUAAACCAUUGUCACAGUCCCAAGAUAAGUUUAAUUAAUUAGCAAAUUUGUAAUUAAGCAUAUUCAGAUCAGGGUUAGGUUUUUUGUUUUUUUUUUUUUUUUAUCUCUGUUUUGUUUUUUGUUUCUUUUAUCUCUGUUUUGUUUUCUCUGUUUUGCUUUGUUGUGUUGGGUUUUUAUGGAUGAGCUACUCUUCGAUGUUCCUGGCUCUGGAGAAAUGCUUAAUUGCCCAUUGUUGCUUAUUCAGAAGUCAUAAUACAUGGAGAGUGGUAAGGAGGAAGAUAAGUAGGGAACGUGACGCUGUGUUGUUGAUUUAAUAACCAAACUUACCUGUUUAUGUGGUAACAAAAAUACAAAGGUACCUACAAAAACCUCAUUCCAUGUUUUCAAUUUUUAGGCACAAAGGAGCUUUGAGCCAUAUUGUAAAUAGAAGGUGAAACAUAUCCUUUUAUUUAACUUCAUAACCAAACUUACCUGUUUAUGUGGUAUCAAAAAUACAUAGGUACCUACAAAAAUCUCAUUCCAUGUUUUCAAUUUUUAUGCACAAUGGAGCUUUAAAGUUAUCUUUUAAUUUAUUUAAAAUAUUGAUUGAGUAGUUCUUUAAAUUUGUGUUUCAUACAUUUAAUGGAUAAUUGAGAAUG